rnacentral:rRNA from 1 species
GAUGAACGCUGGCGGCGUGCCUAAUACAUGCAAGUCGAGCGAAUGGAUUAAGAGCUUGCUCUUAUGAAGUUAGCGGCGGACGGGUGAGUAACACGUGGGUAACCUGCCCAUAAGACUGGGAUAACUCCGGGAAACCGGGGCUAAUACCGGAUAACAUUUUGAACCGCAUGGUUCGAAAUUGAAAGGCGGCUUCGGCUGUCACUUAUGGAUGGACCCGCGUCGCAUUAGCUAGUUGGUGAGGUAACGGCUCACCAAGGCAACGAUGCGUAGCCGGCCUGAGAGGGUGACCGGCCACACUGGGACUGAGACACGGCCCAGACUCCUACGGGAGGCAGCAGUAGGGAAUCUUCCGCAAUGGACGAAAGUCUGACGGAGCAACGCCGCGUGAGUGAUGAAGGCUUUCGGGUCGUAAAACUCUGUUGUUAGGGAAGAACAAGUGCUAGUUGAAUAAGCUGGCACCUUGACGGUACCUAACCAGAAAGCCACGGCUAACUACGUGCCAGCCGCCGCAGUAA